UGACUCGCACCUGGGAGUCAGAAGGGGUUGAUUGGCCUUAGAUAAAAGGACAGAGCAGGAACAGAGUAGCAGAGGCACAUGGGAGAAGGAGGAGGCCAUGGAGAACAUGAGGAAGACCUGAGAUUAUGAUUAUGAUUAUGAUUAUGAUUAUGAUUAUGAGUAUGAGUAUGAGUAUGAGUAUGAGGAGGGAAGGAGGGAAGGAGAGAAGACACCAAAGCGUGACAGAUCAUACGGAACUGGCGGAGAAGCAGCCAGCAGAUCGGACGAAGGGACACGGGAAAAGAACCUAGGAGCCCUGAAGCUACAAUCAAGAAAACGCUAACACCGACCGCUAGCGGCAAAAGUGCAAGAGUGUAAAACCUCUCCCUCCCGCGUCAUGCCCCAAGGAAGGUGACCGGUACAAAGGAGGCUGCUUCCUGGCUGAGCCCUGUGGACAUUUUAAGCCAAGACUCCUGUUCUGUCUGGACUGUUUUAACUUGAUGUUUAUUUGUUUAAAAAAUCCUUUUUAACUAAUUUUAUUGUUACUCCUUUAAAAUAAAUCCGUUACUCCUCA